GUCGGAAGCCAGCAGCGCCAAGCAAGCCUCUGCGUGCCCAC
rnacentral:SRP_RNA from 14 species